GUAGACUUGGGUUUCCGUGAAAAUUCAAGAAUGGUUGUCCAUGCAAGAAAGUUAAUUGUUUUGGGUUUUCCAAGGAUGAGGGCCCGCAAAUGUUCAAGAGAACGAGAACCCCGACUUUGUUUAGAACAUCAGAGUAGAAGUUGAAUGUUGAAAUGAAAUUCUUCUUGCAUACAGUUAGGCUGCCCAAGUCUGUCCUUAUUCACCAGCCUAAGAUUUUAAUGUAGAACAUAGAGGAUUGCGUGCUUUCUUGAUAUAAAGUCUUCCCGCUGUUGAAAUCAAAAAAUCUCUGCAAGAAAGUCCCCAUUUAUAUUCAUGUGUUGUGCUUGUCGGAGGAGAUGUUCUUGGACAAGUAUAUAUCACAAGUCAGAAAAAAUGCAGUGGAGUCAUUAGUAGCAUACGAAGGUCAUUAUCUCGAGGCAUAACCAACAUUCAAUUCUGUUUUUUUCACUCUUCCACAGGUUCUAAUACUGAAAUUAUUUUGACAGUGUUGUGCAUGCUUAAUUUAGUUUCUUAUAUUUUUUAGUUUUUUUUCAAGGCAACGCUACCAAAUAUCCUUUCCUUCUACACAGUAGCAAAAGUAGACCUGAUUAGACAUGAGUCUCCUUGUCUCAAGCAAAGCCCAUGUGGGGAGUGGAGGAAAUUAAAAAAGAAAUGGGUUGAUUUCAAAUCCACAAAAGUACACAGAAUCAACGUUGAUGAUUUUGAAUUAUGGUGUGCUUUUGUGGGGUUGAAUUAUACAGUGUUUAAGGAUCGAUAUGUACUUUUGUUGGUUUGAUUUAUACGGUGUUUAAGGAUCCAUGAAUGUGCUUGCUUUUGUUGGUUAAUUAUACGGUGUUUAAAGAUCGAUCGGUGUGCAUUUGUCGGAUUGAAUUAUAUGGUGUGCUUUUGUCGGAUUGAAUUAUAUGGUGUUUAACUAUCAAUUGAUGUGCUUUUGUCGGAUUGAAUAAUAUCAGUUCUUUUAUCGCAAGAAUUAUCACUCAGUUCUUUUAUCACAAGAAUUAUCACUAGAUCGUGGAGGCAGCUGUAGAUUAUUUUUCUUACAAUAAUGCUUAUUAAGUUUCCAUUUACUAUUUUUCUUAUGUGCUCAAGGUAGUCUCUCUUAUUGUUUGUAAGAAGGUACAUUUGUCAGUGAUGUUGAUUAUCUAUCGAAGAACAAUACUUGAUCGUGAACAAUAUGAUCAUCGAGUCUGUUAUGAGACUUCUCCGUUGGUUUUUUCAAUUAUUGUAUUUGAUUAUUUAUCUUAUCUUCUAGGUCCUUCAACUCCUUCCUAGAUUGAUUGUGCUUUGCAGGGAAUCUAAGAAUUGAAGUGAGGGCAGGGUGUGCAAAUGAAUGUCGGUUGUGGAGGCAAUGGCGGGAGAUUAUUGUUUGGAAUGGCUGUAGUCUCUCAUUGGUGGUAGUCUCUCUCGUUUUAUUACGUUUCCAUUCACAAUUGUUCUUAACUGGUCGAUUUGGAAUGGCUGUAGUCUCUUGAAUUGGUUGUCGGAAGGUACAUGUAUCAGUCAGGAACAAUACUGUUAUGGUCUGAGGCUAAGGAUUUUAUUUUGCCAGUACAGUGCUAUGUUUUCUGGAUUAUCUUUUAACUGGCUAAACUGGUUUGUUAUGCAAGAGUACUGUUACAAAAUGACAUUUGAGGUGGAUUUGUCUGCUACAUUUUUGUGUUCUGGGUUUACAAAAGGCAUUGUGGGAUGAGCGUGGUUGACAAGUUCUGUUGGGCUUAGAGCACACACCAAGGAGUCUGGCACUUCUCUUUCUUUGAGUAAUAAAAAUUAUGGAAGAGUUUAGAACGGUUUAAAACAGCACGUGAUCACUGAUCUUAGCUUGUGUUUGGAGUGACUAAGGCUACCUUGGUUUUAUGGGAUCAUCUUCCCUGAGUAAGUUGAUUGGCUCAUUAUGACAACUUUCCCCUGGCUACAGCUUCAUGACACGCGUCCUGCAUCCAUGCUUUGCACGUUCGGAAUGUUUGAGAUUCAACUUUGAGUAGCAACCGUUACUAUUCCCUCUUUUUUCAAAUAUACUUCUGCAAACCGCUCGAGAUUUUUUCUUCUUUCAUCUACUUCCAUGCCAUUUGCUUGCUGUCAUUUCUUUUUCAGGGCAGACACGGUGUAUGGAUGUGUGGUGUGGGAGAUAAUCACGUCUCGAAUCUCUAAGAUUUCUUUUGGCGGUUGAGCAUGUAGAAUCGAGUUUUGAUGGCUGUAGCUCCCAAUAUCCUAAUUUCUUGACGAGUGUUCUCUCUUAUUAACUUUCUCUCGACUUGAUCAUGACUUGAUCACCAAACAUUAAGGAUUGAAUUGUGAUUUGUUACUCGGAAACUUUAGGUUUUGUUAUUGUCACAUUUUUUUUUGCAUUUAUCUUUGAUUGGCUAUUUGUUGACGAAUGUGAAUAUAGCCAGGUGUGUGAUCCGCGAUUGUGUUGAGGAUUAAAUAAUAAUACGAUAUCCAGGGUAAUAUAAUAUCUUGGAUGAGUUUCAUUUCUAUUAUUUAACUUCUUUGAACCUGAACUUCAAAUAUAGGGAUUCAAUUGCGAUUUGUUUUUCUGCAGCAAUGUUUGGGGGAUUUGUUUAGUGUAACAUUUGUCUCAUUGAGCAUAUAUUAGGAGUGAAGAUGUCUGCAGGGACUGAUGUGAGGUUGGAUGUGGAAACACCAUCAAGGGGAUUUGUCAAGCUUUAGGUUUUGUAACCUUUACAUUUUUUAUGUCAUUAUUUGUGAUUAGCUAAACUUGUUUGGAUUCUACGUUUUGGUUGGAUUCAUUGCUGACCUUGCAGUGUGGCUGUCAGUUCUUGUGGGUUUUUUAACAUGCACUAUCAGACUAUUGGUGGCACUGCAAUUUGGGUAGGAUUUGUCUGGCAUGGUGAUUGUAGUGAAGAGGAUAUCUGAUUGAUCGUGGAGGCAAUAGUUGUAGAUUAUUGAACUUACCAUAAAGGAUGUCUCUUUUAUUGGUUGUAGGAAGGUACAUGUGUCAGCCAUGGUGAUUGUUUUCAUUUACUCAUGUUUAAGCUAAGAGGAUGUAUCCUUGAGGAAAUUACUCUAGAUUAGUAAACUUAUUGCAAAGCUAUAUGUUUUAUUACGUUUCCAUUUACUAUUUUUCUUAUGUGCUCAGGUGAGAAUGACUAUGGUCUCUCUUAUUAGUUGUAAGAAGGUACAUGUAUCAGCCAUUGUGUUUGUCUAAGCAAUGGCAAUACUUGGUCUCUGAAAUUUGAUCAUAAGUUUGUUAUGGAAUUUUCUCCAUCAAUGUUUUAUUGAAUUUGUUUGUUGAUCUUAUUGUAUAGAGCUUCCAUCUUCUACCUAGAUUAAUUAUUUUUUUUAUUCAUGGGUUGUACAGGGAAACUACGAAAUGAAAUGGAUGAAGGGUGUGCAAAUGGUGGAUGGAGAUCCGGUGAAACCUUAGCUUUUAUUAUCUAUGUAUUCAAUGGGAUUUGUUAUAAAUUGGCUUUAUAUGAGUGAGAUUUCUUUUGCGAUUGCGUAUCAAAAAUCUUCAGUUAGGAACGGUUUACGACAUGGAACCUAAUAUCUGAGUUUGCUCUUUAUAUAAUUUCUCUGCAUUGGUAUUUUGGGUUUGUUUCUUGUAUUUUUAGCCUAUUAUUAGCAUUUACGUCUCCCUUGGUUUUUGAAUUACCGAACUGCAUGACUUUUAAGCAUGUGAGGAUUGAAAAACAUAAGUGUUAGGAAUGGCUAAGAACUCGUAAUAAACAUUGGCAUUCAACUGCCGUUUGUUUCUCUGCACAGGUGUUUCUCUUAUGCAGUUGAAGUGGAAUUUGUUGUUGAAGAACGGGCCAUCUUCUAUUUUUACUUUUCCUUGGUCUUCGAUGAGCUCAUUUCACCAAUUUUUUGUGCUUCGUUGGGUUCUCACAGUGAAAUCAAGUGUGGUCGUUUGUGGAAGAAAUUAACUAUCCUAUAAAAUAUGGUUUGGUGAUUUUGUAUUGAUUUGGGUGAAGUAUAUGGUGUUACCAUCAAUUGAUGUGGUCAAAUUUUGGUGUUAAAGAGAGUUUAGUAUGACUUUCAUUCUGAUUCUUGCAUAUGAUUUGCACUCUUCGGUACUCCAAAAUCACAGCUCUUUUGACUCCUUUCAGUUUGGGGUCUCCAAAUUUAUGAUAGGAUGUGGGAACUAGAUGCUAUCUUGUUGCAGACUAUUUUACUCAAUCUUAGUCCCUUGCCGAUUUUCUUCAAUCUCAACUUUUGCUAAUACAUAUGUGGGCACAGGUUUUGGAAGCUGUGAAUGAAGAUCCAGGCAAACUUCAGGUUUUAUUAUCUUUGCGUUCAUUAUUUUCUCUGAAGUUAUUCUUCUGGCUACAUUUGUGGCGUGGUGACAGGCACCACAUGAGUAUAAGAGGCAUUGACAUUUGUAUUGUUUGGCCUUUAACUCGUUUUGCAGUGAUGUCUAGACUUACUUUGGAUGUCUUUGGUUAUGGACGCAAUGGAGGUAGAUUUUUUUUUUGAACGUCUGGUCUCUCUUAAUGGUUGAAUAGUGAGAAGGUGCAUCUCAUUUUGUUGUGUUUCCAUUCACUACUUUUCUUAUGCGCUUGAUUUGGAAGGUACUUGGUCACUAAUCAUUAUGAUCAUCGAGUCUGUUAUGGGAAUAUCUCCAUUGUUUUUUAAUUAUUGAAUUCAUCUUUUCGCCUAUGAAGCCAAGCAAUGAAGUGUGUUGUAGAUGUGCAAAUUGUGUGUGGAAGUUCUGUGGUAUGUGAAGCUAGAGGGUUUAUUUACCGUUACUUUGCUGUGCUCUUAUGAUCCAAUUUUUAAAUGGCUAUAUCUUGUUAGUUUGAUUAUGAUCUUAUUUGUAUUGAUGGUAGUAUGUCGACAGUCUGGGAUUUUGUCAUGGGCACUGGAAACUGCAAACUAACACUUGAGGAGGAUUUGUCCUCUAUGUUUUUAUGAGUUCUGGGUUUAUGAAAGGCAUUGUGGGAUUCUUAAUUAGCUCGUUAUCCUAGAACAAAAAUAAUUUGGCGAAAAUAUGUUAAAUCGGUGGGUGGUGGGCAGGUUUCAGAAACAUUGGACGGAGAUCUAGUGAAACCUUAGGCUUUACUAUCUUUGAAUUCAUUAUUUUCAUUGCCGUUAUUCUUUAGGCUAAACUUUUCUAGUGGGAGAUCUUGAGGCUUUACUAUUUUUGAAUUCAUUAUUUUCAUUUCUGUUUAUUCUUUAGGCUAAACUUUUGGAGUGGGAGUUCUUGUUGAUUUUGAUUAUCUUCUUAUACUAGUGUUGCAGUGAUGACAAUGUGUAUUGGAUCGUAGAGGUAAUAGUUAUAGAUUAUUUAACAUACUACAAAGCUUUAUGUUUCGUUACGAUUCUAUUUACUAUUUUUCUUAUAUGUGCUCGAGUUGGAAUGGCUGAAGUCUCUCAUAUUGGUUGUAGGAAGGUACAUGUGUCAGCCAUGAUGUUUGUCUAAGCAAGAGUAAUACUUGAUAGCUGAACAUUAUGAUAAUCGAGUGUGUUAUGGGAAUUUCUCAACCGAUUUUUCAAUUCCUAAAUCACCAUAUCAUCUAUGUCCUUCAUCUUCCACCUAGAUUGAUUGAAUUUUUAUUGAAUUCGUGGGUUAUUUCAGGGAAUCUAAGAAAUGAAGUGGGUACAGGGUGUGCAACUGGUGGGUGGUGGGAAGGGUUCAGAAAUCUGGCAAAACCUUAGGUUUUAUUAUCUUUGAAUUCAUUAUUUUCUUUGAUGUUAUUCUUCUUGCUAAACUUGUGGAGUGAGUGGGUGAUCUGUAAAUAGGCACUAUAUGAGAGGCUGUUGGCUCUGUUGAUUUUGAUUGUUUUCUUGUUCUCAUGUUACAACUAAAAGGAUGUGUGUUGUAUCCUAGAGGCAAUAUUUGUUCAGUAUUAAACUUAUUGCAAAGCUUUAUAUUUUAUUACGUUUCAAUUUACUAUUUUCUUAUGUACUAUAGUGUGAAUGACUAUAGUCUCUCUAAUGGUAGUAGGAAGGUACAUGUGUCAGCUAUUCUGUUUGACUAAGCAAUGGCACUACAUGAUUGCUUAAAUUAUGAUCAUCCAAUCUGUUAUUGAAAUUUAUCCCUUGGUUUUUUAGGUAUUGAAUUUCUUUAUUCAUCUUAUCACGUAGGUCUUUCUUUUCAACCCAAAUUCAUUAAAGUUUUUUUAAAUUAAUGGGUUGUAUAUCGAUACUACGAAUUAAAAUGGUUGUCAGGUGUGCAAAUGGUGGAUGGUGGCAUGUUUUGGGAACAAUGGAUGAAGAUCCGGUUAAAACUUAGGUUUUAUUAUUUAUGCAUUCAGUAUUUUCAUUACCUGGAGAAACUUGUGGAGUGGGAGAUCUUGUAAUUAGGUACUAUAUGAGUGAGAGGCUUUGACAUUUGUGUUUUUGGACUGUUGACUCAGUUGACUUUGAUUAUCAUCCUAGAGGCAAUAGCUGUAAAUGACUAUUGUUUUAUUAUGAUUCCAUUUAGUAUUUUUCUUAUGUGUUGGAGUUGAAAUGACUAAUGUUUCUCUUAUUGGUCGUAGAUGGCACAUGUGUCAACCAUUGUGUUUGUCCAAAGAGGAGCAAUUCUUGAUUGCUGAUAUUUUUAUUUGUUUAUCCAUCUUAUCGUCUAGGUCCUUCAUCUUUUACCCAGAUUGAUUAAAGUUUUCUUAAAUUCAUGGGCUCCACAGGGAAACUACGAAAUGAAGUCAUUCCAUAGUAUGCAACUGGUGGGUUGUGGCCAUUGUGGAUGGAGAUCCGAUGAACUUGGGUUUUAUUAUCUUUGCAUUCUGUAUUUUCAUUGUCGUAUUCUCCAGGCCAAACUUGUGGAAUGUGGAUGAUCUAGCAAAUUGGCACUAUAUGCUUGAGAAACUUUGAUAUUUGUGUUGUUGGGCGGUUGUCUCUGUUGAUUUUCAUUAUCUAUUUCUACUAGUGUUGCAAUGCAGAGGAUGUCUAUUUGAUCGUGGAGGCAAUAGUUGUAGAGUGUGCAAAUGGUGGGUGGUGGUCAGGUUUCAGAAACAGUGGAUGGUGAAACAUCAAGUUUUAUUUUCUCUGUAUUCAGUAUUUUCACUGUCGUUAUUCUUCAGGCCAAACUUGUGGAGUUGUUGAUCUUGUAAAUAGGUAUUAUAUAAUUGUGAGGACAUUUGUGUUGUUAGACUGUUUGACUCUUGCAAUUUGAUUAUCUUCUUCUAAUCAUCUUGCAGUGAAGAGGACUAUUGGACUGUGGAGGAAAUAGCUGUAGAUUAUUUAACAUACUACAAAGCUUUAUGUUUUAUUUCGUUUCUAUUCACUAUUUUUCCUAUGUUUGGAAUGGUCGAAGUCUCUCCUAUUGGUUUGUAGGAAGGUACGUGUGUCAGCCAUGGUGUUUGUCUAAGCAAGAGCAAUACUUGAUUGUUAAACAUUAAGAUCAUUGUGGAAAUUUGUGGAAACUUCUCCGUUGGAUUUUUUAAUUAUUAAAUUCGUUAUUCAUAUAUGGCUAGGUCCUUCAUCUUUUACCAGUUUGAUUAUAGUUUUCUUGAAUUCAGGGAAACUAAGAAAUGAAGUGGGUCCAGAGUGUGCAAGGUGGGAAGGUUUUAGAAACAGUAGAUGUUGAUCCGUUGAAACAUUAGGUUUUGUUAUCUUUGUAUGCAGUAUUUUCACUGCAUUUAUUCUUCAGGACAGACUUUUGGAGUGGUUGUUGGAGGACUGUUUACUCUGUUGAUUUUGAUGAAGAGGAUGUUUAUCGGAUCGUGGAGGCAAUAACUGUAGAUUAGGUAACAUACUACAAAGAUUUACAUUUUAUUACGUUUUUAUUUACGAUUUUUCUUAUGCGUUUGAGUUGGAAUGGCUGAAGUCUCUCCUAUUGGUUGUAGGAAGGUACAUGUGUCGGCCAUGAUGAGUAAGAGCAAUACUUGAUUGCCAAUGUUAUUUCAUCGAGUGUUUUAUGGGAAUUUCUCCAUUGGUUUUGUAAUUCUUGAAUUUGUGAAUUUGUCUUCUUGUCUAAGUCCUUCGUCUUCCCCUUGAUUGAUUAAAUUUGUCUUAGAUUCAUGGGUGUUUGAAAGAAAGUAAGAAAUGGAGUGGAUGGAGAUACGGUGAAACCUUAGGUUUUAUUAUCUUCACAUUCAUCAUUCCCUUUGCUGUUAUUCUCCAUGCUAAAUAUCUUGUAAAUAGGCACUAUAUCAAUGAGAAGCUUUGACAUGUGUUGUUGGAUUGUUAAUCUUGUUUAUGUUGAUUGUCUCUUCUACUCGUGUUGCAACAAAUAGGAUGUCUGUAUUGAAUUUACUACAAAGCUUUAUGUUUUUCUAGUUUCUAUAUAUUAUUAUCUAAGAAGCCUGCAGCUGACGGCACUAUGAUGGCUGAAAGGUUGGAGGGCGAAGGCGACGGCAUGUGGGAAGGAUCAUGGCACGUGUCAUCAUGUGUCAUCAUGUAAUUGGACAGAUUAAUUAGUAGAGGAUUGUUACAGGUUGAGUGGAGUUUAAGUGAUAGAAGAGGUGGAGAACAGGUUGUUUUGGAGGUCCACCUCAGGAGGAGUAUGUAAAUAAAAAUUGGGGUGUAUUUAGCUCUUGACUAUUUUUUUCCAGAAUUUGUUGAUUUUGGACUUAUUUUGUAACUUUGAAUAUUUUAAAUCUAUACUUUUAAUGAUCCAAA